GCCAGGCAUGGUGGAGCGUGCCUGUAGUCCCAGCUACUCAGGAGGCUGAGGUGGGAGAAUCACUUGAGCCCGGGAGGCAGAGGUUGCAGUGAGCCAAGAUCGCACCACUGCACUCUAGCCCGGGUGACAAAGCAAUAUUCCAUCUCAA
rnacentral:SRP_RNA from 1 species